GAUGAAGAACGUAGCGAAAUGCGAUAAGUAAUGUGAAUUGCAGAAUUCAGUGAAUCAUCGAAUCUUUGAACGCACAUUGCGCCCGUCAGUAUUCUGGCGGGCAUGCCUGUUCGAGCGUCAUUACGCCCCUCAAGUCCCCUGUGGACUUGGUGUUGGGGAUCGGCGAGGCUGGUUUUCCAGCACAGCCGUCCCUUAAAUUAAUUGGCGGUCUCGCCGUGGCCCUCCUCUGCGCAGUAGUAAAACACUCGCAACAGGAGCCGGCGCGGUCCACUGCCGUAAAACCCCCCAACUUUUUAUAGUUGACCUCGAAUCAGGUAGGACUACCCGCUGAACUUAAGCAUAUCAAUAAGCGGAGGA
rnacentral:misc_RNA from 1 species